rnacentral:lncRNA from 1 species
UUCCAGAGGAGAUUAUCGGUGGUGUGGAGUCUAUUCCUCACUCCCGCCCUUACAUGGCCCAUCUGGACAUCGUCACUGAAGUUGAAGGAGAAAGCCAAGCUAACCCUAGGCGUGGGAACCCUCCCACUCUCGGCCAACUUCAACUUCAUUCCACCCGGGAGAAUGUGCAGGGCAGUUGGCUGGGGCAGAACAAACGUGAAUGAACCAGCCUCUGACACACUGCAGGAAGUAAAGAUGAGACUCCAGGAGCCCCAAUCCUGCAAACACUUCACCAGUUUUCAACACAAGUCCCAGUUGUGUGUGGGCAACCCCAAGAAGAUGCAAAAUGUAUACAAGGGAGACUCUGGAGGACCUCUCCUGUGUGCUGGGAUAGCCCAAGGCAUUGCAUCCUACGUACAUCCGAAUGCAAAGCCCCCUGCUGUCUUCACCAGAAUCUCCCAUUACAGACCCUGGAUCAAUAAGAUCUUGAGGGAGAAUUAACUCUGGAUCUCGGGCCAGUGUGUGAGGAAAUCUGGAGCUGGAAUCGUGCAGGUUUUCUGUGACAUGUGGGAUCUGGCCUGUCUGUAGUUCCUGCUGAAGCCCUUCCUGAUCCCUGAGCUUCCAGAAGGUUCUUACAAGUCACAGAAAGUUCCUAAAAGUCACCAUCUUCAUAAACCUCAAUAAAGAGCCAGAUCCUAGACUGC